UAUUCUAUUGAAUGGAAUUUGAAAUUUAAAUAGACAAGAUAAUUUCUGUGUUUUUCUUUUUCAAAAGAAUAAUAAAUUUUAAUUAUUUGUUAGUGAAUUUUCAAUUGGCUUAAAAUCAACAAAAACAUUUAUUUAUUAAAUUGGAGCGAAAGUUGUUAACCAUAUUCAUUUACAUUAUAUUUUAUAUACUAAAUAUAAGACUAUUUAUACAUUUGUAUGUAUGUACACUUAAAAAUAAAUUAUUAAAAUAAUUUUACUACCGGGCUUUUUAAGUGCUAUCAACCUUAAUAUUUACUAUAUAGAAUAUUUGAUUUUUUGUUUGCUUGUUCUGAAACAGGAUAUUUGUGUACAAUUCAAUAUGGAAAACUGGAGAUCAUUAUUUGGAUCAUCAAAAACUUCAAAUCAACAAACAAAUAUAAUUAAGAAUUCUAAUUUUGAUCUGAAGCAAGUAAACUAUACAAAAGAAAACUACCAUUCAUUUGGUUUAAAACUCAAUAGUAAUGGUUUGACUACUCUAGAUAGUACUGAAAAGAGAAAAGACUGUGAUAAUUAUUUUUACAUAAUGUGGAGAUCUUGAGGAAUUCAUUUAGAAUUACUUCUAUACUACAAUAGAAAUAAUACACACAUAUAUUGAUAUUCAAUAGUUUUGUAGUGAUUUUUAAGUGAUAUUAUUAUAAAAAUUUAUAUAUACAUAUAUUUACAUAUAUAAUAUAUUUAAAUAUUUAAAAAAUAUAAAAAUUAAUUGAAAUGAAUUCGAUUAUUGAAAAUUAUUGUGCUACAUCAUUUUAUACAAAAAAUAUAUAUUUAAAAGAAUUUAUGGAAUUAACUUUUCGUUAUAAAACACCUUGUACUUUAUUGAAUUAUGAAACAGUGUUAUUAUUUUGGAUUGGAAUUAUAUUAUUAUUUGGUCCAUUAUUAAUUUUUAUUGGAAUAUUUUUACCAAGUUUACCAAUUAAAAUACUUAAGAAAUUACGAGAUUUUGAAAUAGGAAAUAUUAUGAGUUAAAAAAAAAUUUGUCUACUUGUAAAUUAAGAACAUAAAAUCAAUUUUAAUCUACAUAUUAAUUAUUAUUUUUUAUAUUAUGUACAUUAUAGCUUUAAUUAUUUUAAAAUUUUAUAUAAGAUGAAUUUCAUAAUUUAUUACAAUAGACGAAUGUUGUCGAUGAACUGCAAAAAUGCUUCAUUUCUUAGUAGAAUUUUAGAAUUUUGAAAUUUUCAAAGCGCCGUCUAGUAAAUAGUUGAGUCAUUUUUGCAGUGAUUCGACGAUAAUAAUUGAAAAAUGUUUCAAUAUUUCAAAGUGAUAAAGUAUUUUCAAGUUUCAAUUUUAUUAUGUAUGCAAUAUUUAAAAUAAGCAAUUUAUAAUUUUAAAAUAUAAAUGUGAUUUAAAAGUUUUUUUAUUUUAUAAAUCAAAUAUUUUGUUUGCAAAUUGAAGCCAUCAAAAUGAAAGUGGUGGAACUCAAAAAAUGAGAUUUUAAAAUAAAAGCAUUUUAAAAUCUUAUUUGUAGAAUAUUCAUAACAUUGUUUUAACAACAGAAAUGCCACAAUUAAUAUUUCUCUUAGUAGUUUUAUGCAAUUAUUUGGUCGGACCACUAUGCUUUCGAACACUUCAAUUUUAAUGCUCAAAUAAUUUCAAAAUAUGAAUUUGUAAAUUCGUAAUUGUUUGUUAAAACAAAUUGAUGUACCUAUAUACUUUAUAUUUUUAAAUGUAUUUUGUAUCAUAAAAUUUUAUUUAAAUAAUAAUUGUGUUUGCAAAAAUUUUUUAUAUUCUGUAUAGAUUUAUGUUAAAACUAUAAAAAAAUAAAACAACA